GUGGUAGAGUACACCNAAGUGCAAAUUUGGAGACGCACCCUAAUAGGUGCCGGGGCUUC
rnacentral:tRNA from 1 species